GCUCCAACACUAUAUGUGUUUCUGUGAAUAUAUCCAGUACCGUGUGUUAUACUGUGUUUAUAAUGUAUACCUCUGUAUUUAUGUGUCGUUUUAAAGGCAGCAGUGGAUUUGAUCCCUACGCCAGCGAGUCACCAGCUCCUGCCUGACCCUGUACCCAUGGCAGCAGGAGGUGGACAGGCACCUUGGACUACAAGAAGUACCCAAACCUCUACAACUACAACAAACACCACUCAGCAAUGGUAUUCUUCACCAAUCACGAUUAUAUACAGGAGAUGAAAAUAUGGACGAAUUUCCAUGACAACAAAUUAAUCAAACUGUACCUGGAAAAAUGACAUGAAUUUCACAUCUGAAGAUGUGAUCUCAUGUGAUUGUCACGCCCUGACCUUAGAGAGCCUUUUUAUUUCUCUAUUUGGUUAGGUCAGGGUGUGAUUUGGGUGGGCAUUCUAGUUUUCUAUUUCUUUGUUGGCCGGGUAUGGUUCCCAAUCAGAGGCAGCUGUCUAUCGUUGUCUCUGAUUAGGAAUCAUACUUAGACAGCCUGUUUUCCACCCUAGUUUGUGGGAUCUUUUUUUUGCACAGUUGCUGUAUAGCCCUGCAGAACUUUACGUUUGUUUAUAUUUUGUUGUUUUGUCUGUGUUUCCGUAUAAAAUUAUCAUGAACACUUUCUACGCUGCGCUUUGGUCUCAUUCAUUCAACGACGAGCGUAACAGUGAUCACGUGAUUUAAUGUGAAGUUAAUGUGAUAACAUUUGACAACAUGUGAAGCAACAUGUGACAUGUGAUGACAACAUAUGAAAUGUGACAUGUGGGCACAUGUGAAAUUAAUGUGAAAUAAAUGCCAUUUAGAAUAUUUUACUUUGAAAAGAACAAUUGACAUUAAUUCAAUUUAAACAGUCAUUCUUAGACAUUCUCGGACAUUCCUAGAACAUUGUGUCAAGGUCCCCUAGAGGUUUUUUUCUUGAGGUGAAAAUACAGUAAAUCAAAUGUAUUUAUACAGCCCUUAUUACAUCAGCUGAUAUCUCAAAGUGCUGUACAGAAACCCAGCCUAAAACCAGAAACAGCAAGCAAUGCAGGUGUAGAAGCACGGUGGCUAGGAAAAACUCCCUAGAAAGGCCAAAACCUAGGAAGAAACCUAGAGAGGAACCAGGCUAUGAGGGGUGGCCAGUCCUCUUCUGGCUGUGCCGGGUGUAGAUUAUAACAGAACAUGGCCAAGAUGUUCAAAUGUUCAUAAAUGACCAGCAUGGUCAAAUAAUAAUAAUCACAUUAGUUGUCGAGGGUGCAACAAGUCAGCACCUCAGAAUAUCAGUCGAAUAUCCAACCUGAAAAUAUCUUUACCUUGGAAGCUAUCCUCACCAUAAGGCGAUCGUUCUCCUGUAUAUUAUGAGUACAGCGACUGCAAUUAGGCAUAAUGUCAAUGUUACUAACGUUACUUAGCUUUGGCUGGUGGAA
rnacentral:lncRNA from 1 species